rnacentral:rRNA from 1 species
UACGUAGGGUGCGAGCGUUUAAUCGGAAUUACUGGGCGUAAAGCGUGCGCAGGCGGUUAUGCAAGACAGAUGUGAAAUCCCCGGGCUCAACCUGGGAACUGCAUUUGUGACUGCAUGACUAGAGUACGGCAGAGGGGGAUGGAAUUCCGCGUGUAGCAGUGAAAUGCGUAGAUAUGCGGAGGAACACCGAUGGCGAAGGCAAUCCCCUGGGCCUGUACUGACGCUCAUGCACGAAAGCGUGGGGAGCAAACAGG